CUGCCCUGGUGACCAAUCAGGGCAGGUCUCGCGGAUCGUGCUCCACUGCCUCUAAUCUUCAAAAAUAACCGUGCGAUUAAGGUCGGUUUGAUCCGACGGUCCACAUUCAUUUGAGGGGACUAUAUAAGCAAGGCCUCUCCACCCCAAGGGAAGAGGAGAAAUCAUUAUCAGAGGAAGCCAUCAAAGUUAGGGUUUUAGAACUUCUCUCCCGUAGAGAAUUAGAAUUAGCUACUCCCAAUUCCUUCAAGUUCUAUAGGAUUGAUUAGAUAGAAUUAGAGAAGUAGAGCACUACGCUCUGUUUCAGAUCAUCAUCAAUAAAGAUUGGUAUUAUUUCAUAUCUUUCUCUACUACUUUAUUCUAAUUUUAUUAUGUCUCUAUUUAUUAUGUUCUUAGUUUGCUCUAGUUCUGUAUUUGAUAUAGUUAUGAUUGAUAAUGAGUUUAUUUAUAA
rnacentral:lncRNA from 1 species